GACAGGGCAAGCGCUUCAUGUAUCUGAAGGAAAGAACCAGCUAAGUGAUGGGCUCUCUCUCUCUCUCUCUCUCUCUCUCUCUCUCUCUCUCUCUCUCAGAUGCUAGGUGGGGAAAUGAAAGGGAUCGCAGGUUACUCUGAACCCUGCUCUCAGCAGCUGAGAAUUCCCAGAUGUCCCCUCUACUGUGGUCCUCACCCCGAGGCUGAAGAUCUCAGGCCUCCUCCCAGCCAGAGAGAAGACACACAUGAAACUGACACAUUGCACCAGUCCUGACAGAGUAAAGCAGCUCAUCCUCUCAGGUAGCUGUUUCCAGGCGCUGCUCAGCUCUUACCCCCCACACACGUAAUGCCAUGUGGUGGCUUCGAUCCUCUGCCUACACCCCAUGACCCUGCAUUUUCCUGUUCCUAUUUGUUGUGUCCGUGUCUAGAGGUCCCCCAAAGCUUCAUGUGGUCGUGGUAGGCUGGAUCCAGAGUGUGUGGCACUCAAAUCGAUUCAUGGCGUGAUGUUAGGCUCAAGGGCACUGGGAUUAAGGGUGUGAGUGCUGCCUGCCCUAAGUAGCCUGGAGAAGAUAAAAGGGGCAGAAAGAUGCUGUUGAAGUCCCCUGUUGCUUUGCUGUCUUCUGCCUGCCAUUGAUUGUUUCUUCUCUGCAAUGCCACUCUGCCCCAGAGCCAGCUGAUUAUGGACCGAAACCUCUACAAACCAUGAGCUGAAUAAACCUCUCCUC
rnacentral:lncRNA from 1 species